UGCCGGCGACCGGCGCACGGGUGAGUAACACGUAUGCGACCUGCCCCCGCAGGGGGAUAACCGGGAGAAAUCCCGACUAAUACCGCGUAACGCCGCGGACCUGCAUGGGUCUGCGGCCAAAGGAAGCGAUUCCGGCGGGGAUGGGCAUGCGGCGCAUUAGCUAGUCGGCGGGGUAACGGCCCACCGAGGCGACGAUGCGUAGGGGUUCUGAGAGGAAGGUCCCCCACACUGGUACUGAGACACGGACCAGACUCCUACGGGAGGCAGCAG
rnacentral:rRNA from 1 species